UCCCCCGCCAACGAGGGAGCCCGCGCGCGCACAGCUUCUCUGCCAAGUGUGAGAGUGACUCGUGGAAACUUCACCUCUCUCACCAUUGCUCUUACUUCGACGCCCACAAACCACCAAAGUGUUUUCUGUGUGUGCCUCGUGCUCCCCUAAGGCCAUGCCUAACAAGGGAAACAACAAACGACCCAAGGGUUGUAUGCCGGACAAGAAGCCAAGCCAAGACCGAAUCAAGAGUCAGCCGAAGGAGCAGAAGGAAGAGAAACCGAAGGAAAAAGAGAAAAAAUAAAGGUGACGCCAACUCAGCUGGCCUGUCAUCCAACGGGUACCAACUUUCCAACGUUCCAGUCUCCGCUCUUUCGUCUCAACAUGCGCCAUAGCCUCUCCUCCUCCCCCCUCCGCCGUCAGCGUGUCUCGUCUCUCCAGGUGACCCCAGGGCUCAACCCCGCGCGCCUCACCUCAUCGUGGCGUUUUGCCUCCCACCGGCGGCCCGACACUUCCAGGUUACACACCCUACCUCCCCUCCGUACUUCUAGACUAGAGCUUCAAGGUUCCAGAAUGCACUAGAGCUGUCCACGGCCCACCAUACUCUCCUCCUUAGUCUCCCUUUACAUCUACAGCCAUAGUUUCCUUGCAUCCACCUCAUCUCAUCGCCUCUCGUGAGGGAUGGCUCCCUUCUCUUUGUACUUCAUGGCUCUAGACAAUCCUCUGCAGCUCCCACGCGCAUUCCGACUUCGUGCCCUGAGAACAAACGGGAGCUGCAGACGUCAAGCUAAAACUUUUUUUUCUAAAAUUCCCGGCCUGUUGACCGUGCAACAAUGCCGCCAUCUUCCCUCUCGGCCACUUCACUCUUCUCAGGGCCGCUUCGUCCUCUCCUUCUGAGCUCAUGGCAGCGCUCAUGGCGUUCGGAUGACCUCGUGGCUGCAUCCCCGACCCUCCCCAGAGGUGCCACAGCAACAGCCCCAAAUCCUUCUCCGGGAAUUUCCAGAAAGACUGCGAGAUUGUCUGGAAACUUCCUGGCUCCCCCACGCCCCUCCCCGCCGCCUCCUGGAUCAUCCUCGCGAGGCCCUCGACGUCCAUCUCGCCCUCUCGACCUCUUCUCAGACUGCCUCCUCGCCCCCUCCCCCGCCUCCUGCCCCACCUCCUGACCUCGUCUGUGCACCCACGUUGCCAGUGCUUGCUUCCAGUGCCAUAUUUUUCAGACAACGAAUGUGUUUUGUUGUCGAAUUACAAUCUCUUGAGAGAAAUGUAUUUUUGGAUAUAAUUAUUUAGCAGGAAGGAAAAAAAGAAUAUUUGAUACUGUAUAUCUUAGUUAACGAUUAUUUUCUACAUACAUUUAUAUACAUAUAUUUUGCAGAUUCCAAGUAUUUGAUAUUUCAGCAACUAAUCUUUUCUGUGUAUAUUGUUUUUUCAUGUAUUUUGUACUAAUUUUCAUGUAACAUUUUCCGUAGAUCUCUUCCUUAAAUUCCUCUUUAUUCCCAGUCUCAUAUCCUACCCCGUAAGCAGGCCUAUUUUUUUCAUCGAUAAAAUCCAAAACCUCUUCACAUAUCAUACCUUUCAUUGUCUCUUUUUUUGCGUGUUUUCCCUCUCUCGUUAACCUUUCUUUCUGUCUUUCUCAUCGCGAGCCGGGCACUCUGCUCUCCAAGUGGCUCUCCGCUCGGCUUGGAGACUCCUUCACUCCGUAAUUGUGUCUGCCUCGCGACUUUAGCCCUGGGUGCUCCUAACAGCCCCCCUCGGCACCUCUCACCCAGCACUUCUUUGCAGAUUCGCCCCACUCGGGUCACAUCUCAUUACUCUAAACUUCUUUACUCUUUAACAGUAGUCCCUGGUUAUGACGUCACGCUCCAAAUGAUACCUUCUCUUCGCUUUCUCACGCUGCCUCUCCAGUGCUUUGUUAUAUUUCAAAAAUUUCCCCCUUCCCUCAUUCAAUGUACAUUCUGCCAUUUCCUCUUUGUUUCCAAAUUACUCUCCCCUCACUUAUUUAUAUCCGACUCGUAAUUACUUUGUUUAUAUAUAUCACAUCUCGACACUGAUCUUAAUUCACACUCUCCUCUUCGCCUGUUCUUUCCCCCUUGAUCUGACUGAAAACGCAAAAACGAAAAAUUCACUAACACAUACUAACACACACACGCAUGCAUUACUCGCCCCCCUCUCAUUAUUGAACUUCCCUAUGCUGCCCUACAACCCUAUGUUGUUCUAUGCCCUUCACAUUCCCUCUCCUGGCCUGCUGCAGCGUAUAUCAAUCUCAAUAUCUUUUAACGCGCACUUCGUACCUUCGUUGCCAAGCAUUCAUUCUUCUGGCACGUGCGAAUGUUUACAAAACAUUCAAGGGAUGUUUUAUUAAAUUCGGUUUAUUUGAGGUACACGAAGGAUUAAUUACAUAUAUAAAAUAUGAUAGCAUAACUACACCACACGGAUAUUUUAAUUACUAUGCUACAGUGCUACAUUUAUAUCAGUACCUAAUGUAACUGCGGAUUUUAAUUAAGAAUUAAGCCAAAUAGUGUUAGAAUACACAAGAUAGAGUUACACUAACACAUGCAGCAAAAUACACAGCCAUAUACACAGCACAGACAGCUGUAUAAUCGCGCGCAGUUCACGUUUGGCCCGGCACACACAACAAGCACACUUAACAUACAUUUCCUUUCCGCUCAGAACAAAGCUCUCACACUCGCCAGGGAUUUGAGCGCUUCCCCUCCCUCCUUCCCUCCCUCUUCCCCCCUCCCCUUCUUUCCAUCUCUGGACCUUGCCCUCUUAUUCUCCUCCUUAUUUGCUUUUCGUCUUCCUUUUGUUCUUCACGGUGGCUUAGUUUCGAUCUGGCAUCUGUUUCUCGCUCUUUAUUUUCUUAUUUCUUUUUAUUCAUCUUAUUUCUUUUUCAUCCCUUUUCCUCUGCGGCCCAUCCCUAGUCUGCCAGCCGAUCCCCUAAAUGGCAUUACCCAUCGUAAACUUUCUUCCAACCCAUAAUCCUAAUGGUAUAUCCUGACCCCAUGUCGCUGUGUCCACACCUUUUUUGCGUUAUACUAAGUGGUCGACACAGUCCAUUGUCCCAGUGUUAUCAGAUUACACACUUUGAGACACUUUAUCUUAUCAUUUCUUAUACAAAAUCUAUCGUUUUGUUUUUCUUUAAUUAACUCCUAUAUUAUGCUCUUCUACACUCUUAUCAACAUCCUUACGGGCCAUUGCUUGCACUUGCAUGCUUUCUUUCCUUAUCAUUUGGCUCUCUCUUCCUUUCAUUUAUGUAAUUUGUCACCUUAGUCUUGGAAAUAUUAGUUUAUGUUCUUGCACAUUAUAUUUUAACAAUUGUAAAAUGUGUUUUAAGUAUAGAAGUAUGUAAAUGUGUUCAUAGUUUAUGUAAAGUAGAUUGUUAGAUUACUUCAGUACAUAAAUCAAAUUAGCUUCAUUUAUUGAUUUACUUAUGAACCGCAUUAACUAACAACCGCCACUCUCUUUUCGCUCCUCGUUUUGGUACCUUCGACGAGUGCAAAAUACAUAUUUGCUCCAAACGAAAAAUUUGUAUCUAUGUCACGGCUUUUACAGGUCUGUAGAAGUUAGAUUUUUACUACAGUUUAAACCCAAAACCCCCUUUUUCGAAAUUUCUGUGACUCCUGCGCCUUACCCUACUGUUUGUACCGUAGUAAAUGAUUUACUUCGUUAACAUGGCAGGAGGUUGAUCGUCGGAGCUACAGUUGGUGCAAUACUCCCCCUAGUAAUCAUUCAAAGAUCUACCCUUCUGUGUGCAUUUAACUCGUGUAGCCCAUAAGUCACAGCGUGAGUGCGUUUUACAGUCACCCAUCACUAUGUGUAUCGAAGAGUAUUGCAUCAACGCACCUCCAGAUAAGUUUGUAUCAACGUUUGUGUAUAACUGUAUGUGAAGCUGGUAAUACCUUUAAAAACAAAAGACUCGCGCAACCCGUAACGUUGGCCGAUGAUUCUGCACCAAACAGUAACGAUUAAAGUAAAAUAAAUAAACUUUUUAUGCAGUAAUACAACUUUUUUGAGGGAUUUGAGGCUUCAUCCUUACUGGUUGUGGUGUAGGAAAUGUUGUAUUUUACAUUGUUGCCUUAAGGAAUAGCAAACGUGUUAUAAUCAAUGUUUUAUUUUCCACGUAUAGCUUAGAUGUUUUUUAGCUGUCAAGGAUAUGCGGAUGGACCAGGCGAACCCCAGGCUGUUAUUGGGGGUUCAAGGGGUUUAGCAAUUAAAGAUGAUGAUUCAGAGGAUUGACGGUUCUUCCUUUCACGGGGAUUGACGUAAGGGUUAUUUUGCUAGUCAGGCUAAAUAGAAAUUAAUCCUUAUUGAAGCCCCCCGAAGGACGAUUUUUUUGUCAGCCAGCUGGUCAGUUCGCAUAGUCCUCUACUGAGCCCAAAUUAUGUUUAGAUAGCUGUUUUAGAUAUAUAAUCCAGCAUUUACUCAAACCUUACACCAUUUAGAGACAUAUAACAACCACCAUCCCUGAAAGAAACCUAUAACACCAGUAAAGUCUGAAAUUAUUUUUUGAUGGAAACUUGAUUUGUAGAUAUUUUCGCAUGGUUACUACCCUGAAUAAAUAAAGCUUGUGAAUAAAAUAUAGGAAAACGGUUGGCCUUCCGUAAAGUAAGUCGAUUAAACAAGAAACUACAAAUAACAAUAUACAAAAUCUAAUUGUAGUUAAAGCAUUCGUUUAUUUUCUUUGAUUUCAUCGAAUAUAUAUAUUUUUACCAAAGUCAAAUGGAAGACAAGGAUUUUUUUGGUUUAGUUCAUUUUUUCAUAAUAGAAAUGCGAGAUUAGAAGAAAAAAAAGUCGACAUCAAUAUCUAUAAUGAAAAGAAUAUUUUGUAAAACACAACUUAAUAUCUGAUCACUUUUUUCCGUUUUCUGUGUUUUUUAUCCAUUUUCUUUUCGUUCCGUUCCUUUCAUUAUCUCGGACGGAAUUAGAUCUUCCAUAUCAGUGCCUCACCAUUCAGUGAUCCUACUCGUCAUUAACCAGUUCCUAAAUGACGAAUUAAUCUUUUGAAGAUAAAAAUAAAUAAAAUUAAGUCUGAUAACAAAUAAAUGGCUGUAACAAUUUAUACAAAGUGCCAGCAGGGGGAAUCUUUCACAACAAACAAUAAUGUACUUUGUAGGCUUAUCAGAAGGUGACUUAUAUGUCCUGCCCCCAUUCUGCUACCUAAAUGUGGCCAGGCGUUCUGAAAAGAAAGAAAAAUACUUAAAUGCGGUAUCUAAUGCUUUAAUGAACUUUAUUGGGCAGAGAGAUCAACAAUUGGUGUUUUAUUUGCUUGCACAUUGUGAAGGUUGUAAUACUCGUGAAUGCCGCAUUUUUGAGUAAGCUGCGAGUGAAAAAAGUGAGGUUUCAAGUAUAAUAAAAAAGACAUAUUUAAUAUGAAUCAGUUAUUAAACAAACCUAUUGCAUACUGAGUGUUACGAAUAAAACAUUGUAAUUGA